rnacentral:tRNA from 1 species
GUGGUUGUGGCUCAGUGGUAAGAGCACUUGCCUAGCAUGUGUGAGGUACUGGGUUUUAUUCUCAGCACCAUA